rnacentral:rRNA from 1 species
CCCCGCUGUGCAAACCUCCUUGUCAAAGCCUGAUCUUGUUAGGGCUGGGUCUGGUUAGUACUUGGAUGGGAGACUGCUGGAAAUAUUAGGUGUCACAGUGGGGC